rnacentral:misc_RNA from 1 species
AACGCACCUUGCGCUCCUUGGUAUUCCGAGGAGCAUGCCUGUUUGAGUGUCAUGAAAUUCUCAAACCCAUAAGUCUUUGCGGGCUUACGGGCUUUGGACUUGGAGGCUUGUCGGCGACCGUAAAGUCACAUCGACUCCUCUCAAAUGCAUUAGCUUGAUUCCUUGCGGAUCGGCUCUCGGUGUGAUAAUUGUCUACGCCGUGACCGUGAAGCGUUUUGGCAAGCUUCUAACCGUCUCUAACGAGACAGCUUACUUUGACCUCUGACCUCAAAUCAGGUAGGACUACCCGCUGAACUUAA